UGAGUAACACGUAUCCAACCUGCCGUCUACUCUUGGCCAGCCUUCUGAAAGGAAGAUUAAUCCAGGAUGGCAUCAUGAGUUCACAUGUCCGCAUGAUUAAAGGUAUUUUCCGGUAGACGAUGGGGAUGCGUUCCAUUAGAUAGUAGGCGGGGUAACGGCCCACCUAGUCAACGAUGGAUAGGGGUUCUGAGAGGAAGGUCCCCCACAUUGGAACUGAGACAUGGUCCAA
rnacentral:rRNA from 1 species